GUGCAUAUCAGUAGACCUCACCUUGCUGUGUCUUGGCUUUGGUGAGGGGGACAGCAUAUGCCAGAGGAAAUGUGGAGUGACUGUCAGAUGCAGCCAGCAGAAUAAGUGGUUUGGCUGAACUGUCUUACUCCCACAUCC